rnacentral:rRNA from 1 species
AAUCAACGCUGGCGGCGUGCCUAACACAUGCAAGUCGAACGAGAAGGUGACUUCGGUCACUGGAUAGUGGCGUCCGGGUGAGUAACACGUAGGUAAUCUACCUUCGGGUGGGGAAUAACGUCUCGAAAGAGACGCUAAUACCGCAUAAUGCAGCGGCACCUAAUGGUGAUUAGUUGUUAAAGCGGGGGAUCUUCGGACCUCGCGCCUGAAGAGGAGCCUGCGGCAGAUUAGCUAGUUGGUGAGGUAAUGGCUCACCAAGGCUUCGAUCUGUAGCUGGUCUGAGAGGACGGCCAGCCACACUGGCACUGACACACGGGCCAGACUCCUACGGGAGGCAGCAGUAAGGAAUAUUGCGCAAUGGGCGAAAGCCUGACGCAGCGACGCC